rnacentral:rRNA from 1 species
GAGUUUGAUCCUGGCUCAGGAUAAACGCUGGCGGCGUGCCUAAAACAUGCAAGUCGGACGGCCGGCCUUCGGGCCGGCAGUGGCGGACGGCUGAGUAACACGUGGGUGACCUGCCCCCGCGCGGGGGAUAACCGCCCGAAAGGGCGGCUAAUACCGCAGACGUCGCGCCUUCGGUGGCGUGACCAAACUCCUUCGGGGGGUGUGGGGAGGGGCCCGCGGCCGAUUAGCUGGUUGGCGGGGUGACGGCCCACCAAGGCGACGAUCGGUAGCUGGUCUGAGAGGAUGAUCAGCCAGACUGGGACUGCGAGACGGCCCAGACUCCUACGGGAGGCAGCAGUUAGGAAUUUUGGGCAAUGGGCGGAAGCCUGACCCAGCAACGCCGCGUGGGUGACGAAGGCCCUCGGGUCGUAAAGCCCUUUUCCGGGGGACGACGGUGACGGUACCCCGGGAAGAAGCCCCGGCUAACUACGUGCCAGCAGCCGCGGUAAUACGUAGGGGGCGAGCGUUGUCCGGAUUCAUUGGGCGUAAAGCGCCCGCAGGCGGCCGGCCGCGUCGUGCGUGAAAUCCCCCGGCUCAACCGGGGGGGGUCGGGCGAUACGGGCCGGCUGGAGCGCGGUAGGGGGAAGCGGAAUUCCGGGUGUAGUGGUGGAAUGCGUAGAGAUCCGGAGGAACACCGGUGGCGAAGGCGGCUUCCUGGACCGUGGCUGACGCUCAGGGGCGAAAGCGUGGGGAGCGAUCCGGAUUAGAUACCCGGGUAGUCCACGCCGUAAACGAUGCGCACUAGGUGCCGGGGGUAUCGACCCCCCCGGUGCCGCCGCCAACGCAUUGAGUGCGCCGCCUGGGGACUACGGCCGCAAGGCUAAAACUCAAAGGAAUUGACGGGGGCCCGCACAAGCAGCGGAGCGUGUGGUUUAAUUCGACGCAACGCGAAGAACCUUACCUGGGCUUGACAUGCCGGUGGUACGACCCCGAGAGGGGGAGGACCCGCGAGGGAGCCGGCACAGAUGCUGCACGGCUGUCGUCAGCUCGUGCCGUGAGGUGUUGGGUUAAGUCCCGCAACGAGCGCAACCCCCGCCGCCAGUUACGCUGUCUGGCGGGACCGCCGGGUCCAACCCGGAGGAAGGUGGGGAUGACGUCAAGUCAGCAUGGCUCUUACGUCCAGGGCUACACACACGCUACAAUGGCCGGCACAGAGGGCGGCGAAGGGGCGACCCGGAGCGAAUCCCGGCAAAGCCGGCCCCAGUUGGGAUCGCAGGCUGCAACCCGCCUGCGUGAACGCGGAGUUGCUAGUAACCGCCGGUCAGCACACGGCGGUGAAUACGUUCCCGGGCCUUGUACACACCGCCCGUCACGUCAUGAAAGUCGGAGACGCCUGAAGCCGGCGGGCCAACCCCCGCGAGGGGGGGGCACCCGUCGAGGGCGGGCCCCGCGCUUGGGACGAAGUCCCAACAAGGUACCCCUA